rnacentral:rRNA from 1 species
AUUAGGAAUCUUGCGCAAUGGGCGAAAGCCUGACGCAGCGACGCCGCGUGGAGGAGGAAGGCCUUCGGGUUGUAAACUCCUUUUUCGAGGGAAGAAAACAAUGACGGUACCUCGGGAAUAAGCCCCGGCUAACUCCGUGCCAGCAGCCGCGGUAAUACGGAGGGGGCGAGCGUUGUCCGAAGUUACUGGGCGUAAAGCGCGUGUAGGCGGGUUGUCAAGUCCGCUGUGAAAGCCCGAGGCUCAACCUCGGAGGGUCGGUGGAUACUGACAGUCUUGAAGGUGCUAGGGGGAGAUGGAAUUACCGGUGUAGCGGUGAAAUGCGUAGAGAUCGGUAGGAACACCAGUGGCGAAGGCGGUCUCCUGGGGCAUUCUUGACGCUGAGACGCGAAAGCUGGGGGAGCGAACGG